AGUGAACGCUGGCGGUAGGCCUAACACAUGCAAGUCGAACGGCAGCACAGUAAGAGCUUGCUCUUACGGGUGGCGAGUGGCGGACGGGUGAGGAAUACAUCGGAAUCUACUUUUUCGUGGGGGAUAACGUAGGGAAACUUACGCUAAUACCGCAUACGACCUACGGGUGAUAGCAGGGGAUCUUCGGACCUUGCGCGAUUGAAUGAGCCGAUGUCGGAUUAGCUAGUUGGCGGGGUAAAGGCCCACCAAGGCGACGAUCCGUAGCUGGUCUGAGAGGAUGAUCAGCCACACUGGAACUGAGACACGGUCCAGACUCCUACGGGAGGCAGCAGUGGGGAAUAUUGGACAAAGGGCGCAAGCCUGAUCCAGCCAUACCGCGUGGGUGAAGAAGGCCUUCGGGUUGUAAAGCCCUUUUGUUGGGAAAGAAAAGCAGCAGGUUAAUACCCCGCUGUUCUGACGGUACCCAAAGAAUAAGCACCGGCUAACUUCGUG
rnacentral:rRNA from 1 species